AUAGCUCAGCUGGGAGAGCGCCUGCUUUGCACGCAGGAGGUCUGCGGUUCGAUCCCCGCAU
rnacentral:tRNA from 1 species